AACAAUCGAGGAAACAGGGCGCUCCUGCCUUGCGCCCCCAGGCUGGCGUUGGAACUUCUUUAGAGCCAGCGCUGCGGAGCCCCAGCACCAGGAACGUAGAGGGGCUGUGGAGGCAUGGGGCAAAUUGUGCCCGCAGCCUGGGGCCUAGAGCUGCAUCUGUGCACGGGGCCUCCAGGAGCCCGGCUCAGUGGACGAAAUCUGGCAUGCUCGGACGUCACCCCACAGGCCUCACGCCUCAGAGGCACCCCGAAAGGUGAGUUGAUGACUGCUAUUUCUUUAUAGCAAUGCAAGAACAGCCUAAUACACCAACAGAAAACACCAUCCAAGAACAACAUCAAAGGAUAUGAUUGGUACAAUGGGAGAAUCGGAAGGAGGAAAGAGGAGAAGGGGCAGGAGAAAUGGUGGAAUGGCAAGAAUGUCCCCAAAUUAAUGACAGACACCAAACCAUAGAUCCAGGAAACAUACAGAACAUCCAUCAGGACAAAUAACAAAAAACAUAAAGCAAAACAAAACAAAAAACCACACCUAGGCUUGUCACAUUCAAACUGAAUAAACCUGCCUGACUGAACCCUCGUCCACCAGCCACAGCUACACCUCUGACAAGACAAGAGACAGAUUUCAGUAACUCUCCUGGUAAGAGACCACUGACCAUGGCUGGUCCCGGCUG
rnacentral:lncRNA from 10 species